CAACCUCAACUCAUAUGGGACUACCCCCUGAAUUUAAGCAUAUUAAUUAGGGGAGGAAAAGAAACUAACAAGGAUUUUCUUAGUAGCGGCGAGCGAAAAGAAAUCAGUUCAGCACUAAGUCACUUUGUCUAUAUGGCAAAUGUGAGAUGCAGUGUACGGAACAUCAACAUUCUAGUAUGAGAAGUUAACGAUUUAAGUCCUUCUUAAAUGAGGCCAUUUACCCAUAGAGGGUGCCAGGCCCGUAUAACGUUAAUGAUUACUAGAUGGUGUUUCCAAAGAGUCGUGUUGCUUGAUAGUGCAGCACUAAGUGGGUGGUAAACUCCAUCUAAAACUAAAUAUAACCAUGAGACCGAUAGUAAACAAGUACCGUGAGGGAAAGUUGAAAAGAACUCUGAAUAGAGAGUUAAAUAGUACGUGAAACUGCUUAGAGGUUAA
rnacentral:ncRNA from 1 species